CGUCGCCCCCUGAGCUCCCUUUCCUACUCCAGCACGCAAGCGGUCCCCUUUCUCCCACGCCACCCCUCGGCUGCCGCCGCCGUCGCCUCUCCCAUCCCAGAUCCUUCUGCUCCGCGGCGCCCCAGGUCCCCUUUCUAUUUCCCGUCGAUCUGCGGAGGCUCCUUCCUCGGCUACUUCUUCAAGCGAUGACCACAACAAGGCAUGGCUGCGGGAUACGAAGGAGGGCGCGUCCGGAUGUGGUAGCCGCAGGAGGAAGGGACGGGGAGAGAGACAAGUAGGAUGACGAGACCGUGGGCCGCGAAGGUGGAUGGGUGGCAGACAUGGCCUCUCCCUCAUCUCCGUCUCUGUCGUUUCUUCCUCUGAUCUCUUCAAUUAGCCCCAGUUGUCAUCCAGAUCCGGAAUAUAUAUUAGAUCUCCGAGGUUGAACUUGCAAAAGAUGCCGCUGAAUGAGUGGCACUUGUUUGAACACUGGCCAGAACCCGGCGUCGAUGACGACAAGAAGAAAAGCUUCUUUGGCCCGGUGUGUCUUCGGUUGUAUCCUUGAAUUAUUUGGGUUCAGUGACCGAAGGUAAUCUCAUAUAAUAGAAAUAUUCUAUUUAUGCUAGAUUAUUUGACCUGUUCAUUUUAGGUUCAUGUGUUUGGUUUGGAUGGCUAUUGAUGAGUCAAAAAACACAAGCUCCGUACUCUUGUAAUGCUUUCUAUUGUGCACUUGAGACCCUAGAGUAUGUAAUGAAAUUCAUGAUGUAGCUACAAACAUGCACUACUUGCAAUCGCAGUCUGACCAGUGCAUCUUUAUCUUCAUCCGUUUUCAUCGAUAUUCUACUCAAGCGAUCCUGGAGGUUAAGCACUAAACUGUACGCCGAAGACACUCACAGAUAUGGUGUGGAGAGGCGGUACAUUAUUUUGGCAAUGAUGCAAAGGUGGCACAUGAAGGCAUGGGUAACAAUAUAUGAUGUAAACAUUAGCUCAUGUUGAAUGGAUGGUAAACACAAGGCGCGAGUGACCCCGGACCGGAGGCUGUACCAAUCAUGUUUAUAGCGCUUCAACCUGGAAUCACGUCCACUAUUUAUUAUCUUGGUAAUUCACUGCAUAUGAAGAAAGGACAACCAUUCAUGGGUAUGUAUGCCCUAAUCUGUUUGUGCUCCUUGCAAGGAAAUUCUGUUAAACAAUCUUAUGUCGUCGAACAUUUCGCUUUUUAGUCCAAUCUGAAGUACCAGUACAAAUGGUACAUUAACUUUUAGAUGUUUAUAUAUUCAUUUUCCGUGUUCUCUGAAGUCUGAACAUUACUUGAUUUAUCGAUUGGAUCAAAAUGGUCCUAAUGCAUUUUCAUCUUAAUUGCUUCUUGCUUCAGUUUUAAAGCAGCCUUAUAAUGCAGAUCAUUUUAGAUGGAUAUAUAACGACAGGUCAAUGAUUACACAAUGAGUAAACGGUAGACCUGGUCUCUCCCUUCUUCCUUAAAUUGCGUCUAGAUUUUCUAAAUUGUUUGUAGUUUUGACUUCCACUUGUGACUUGUCCAUGAAGGAUGCUUAAAUGGUCUAAUGGCCUGAUAUUGCCAAAGGAUCCCCUAGAUAUAACCACCCCAAGGUACUUCUUUGAGACAAUGACCUACAAGUGUUUAUGAGCCAUGCAUUCGUAUUAUGAAUUGGAAGAACAUCAAUCAGCAAGUAUUUGUGGCUGAUGUCUCCUAGAUGAGAUAAUUUCCCCCAAACUGUGUGUGAUCCAUUGCUCUAGGUAGCAACAUCAUGGAACCGUAGUGUUAAUUUUUAUGCCCUACAUUCUACCGCAAAUACAUUUGGAUUUGCAUAUUUUGAGUCCUGCUACUACUAAUUUGACUUAUGAUGUCCAUGGUUUAGGAUGAUUAGUCGCAGCUCACUUCUAUCAUGAGUUUCUUAUUUGCAGGUGAUGAUCUUGCUGCAACUUGCUUGCUGCCUUGGUUUACAGUGAGCUAGCUGCUGCAGCCCUUUUGUUUCUUUAGAGGACACAGAUGACAGAAACGCCGCCAUGGAAUCAGGCAACCAAUAACCAGAGCGCAGCUGUCAACUCAUUUUAUUCAUUGGCCAGACUACGAAGCAUGGAAAGAGCAUCCAGGAGGAAAUAAUAUGCGUACACCAUGAUGGACACUGAGAAAUCUGACAUACAGUUAUGGCGUUGUGCGGUUGGAGGUGCUAAUAGGUAGUGCACAUGUGCAACAAAUAUAACUGGGAGGUGAUCUCAUAACAUGGGCAAAAAAUUACAUCAGGGACAAUUCUCUGGGCCCAGGGAUCCUUGACACUAAUCUGGAUUUGGAAGAUAAAGCCGCUGUCGAUCAUUGAUUUCUUGAAAAUUGCUCUGCUAUGUAGUUACCUGUCGCUGUAUGAGAGAUUGUCGGCAUGUUGUACUUAUGUUAAGCGAGUCGAAAGAUAGGGCCUGGGCGAGCUCCGCAUCCUUGUCUGCUUCUGAUCAUUCUUCCAAGAAGGAUAGCUCAUGAUGUAUGUUUAUAUAAGUUCGGUUAGUGAAGGCAAUACCCGUUGUUCCCUUUACCUUGUUAUUACUUAUGGUGGGGAUUUGUGGAGUCUGCACUCAUUCUUUCAAACUGGAAUACCAGUUUUUUGUGAUGUUUAUUUCUCCAGGAUCCUAGCCCCUGUGCU